rnacentral:rRNA from 1 species
UACAGAGGUGGCAAGCGUUGUUCGGAUUUAUUGGGCGUAAAGGGUCCGUAGGCGGUCCGUAAAGUUGGAUGUGAAAUCCCACAGCUUAACUGUGGAACUGCAUUCAAAACUCACGGACUAGAGUAUGGAAGGGGUGAGGGGAAUUCCCGGUGUAAGGGUGAAAUCUGCAGAGAUCGGGAGGAACACCAGUCGCGAAGGCGCCUCACUGGUCCAUUACUGACGCUCAGGGACGAAAGCUAGGGGAGCGAAC